UUUCAGUCUGAUCCCAGUACACUGCGUUACAAAAGUUUUGAUCACAAAGGGUUAAAAGGUAAGCAAAAGUUCUUUUAUCUAAAGAAUAAGCUUAAUCAAUUCUUUCAAGUGACAUUCGUUAUUGCAAAAGAAAGCAGAGAGAUUGGAAAAUUUUGAGUUUGCUUGCACGUUUUAUUACUGGAUUUUUAGUACAGUAUAGAUUACCAAACAAGGCCCUCUGUGUCAAUGGCAUCUUUGGAACAUGUUCCCUACAUAUCAAAAAGGUACAAUUGGAUCCAAAGACAUAUAUGUAUGUAAUCUCUCUCUCUCUCUCUCUCUCUCUCUCUCUCUCUCUCUCUCUCUCUUUCUCUAUUUACAAGAUAAUAUUGUUUUGACAAGGAAAAGGAAGGCCCAGAAGUAAAUAUAAAUACUAGGCCA